rnacentral:rRNA from 1 species
GACGAACGCUGGCGGCGUGCCUAAUACAUGCAAGUAGAACGCUGAAGCUUGGUGCUUGCACCGAGCGGAUGAGUUGCGAACGGGUGAGUAACGCGUAGGUAACCUGCCUGGUAGCGGGGGAUAACUAUUGGAAACGAUAGCUGAUACCGCAUAAAAUGGAUUAUCGCAUGAUAAUUCAUUGAAAGGUGCAAAUGCAUCACUACCAGAUGGACCUGCGUUGUAUUAGCUAGUUGGUGGGGUAACGGCUCACCAAGGCGACGAUACAUAGCCGACCUGAGAGGGUGAUCGGCCACACUGGGACUGAGACACGGCCCAGACUCCUACGGGAGGCAGCAGUAGGGAAUCUUCGGCAAUGGACGGAAGUCUGACCGAGCAACGCCGCGUGAGUGAAGAAGGUUUUCGGAUCGUAAAGCUCUGUUGUAAGAGAAGAACGAGUGUGAGAGUGGAAAGUUCACACUGUGACU